rnacentral:rRNA from 1 species
UUUCCAGAAAUCAUUUUUAGGCGGGCGCGUUAUCGGAUUACUGGGCGUAAGCGCACGCAGGCGGUCUGUCAAGUCGGAUGUGAAAUCCCCGGGCUCAACCUGGGAACUGCAUCCGAAACUGGCAGGCUUGAGUCUCGUAGAGGGGGGUAGAAUUCCAGGUGUAGCGGUGAAAUGCGUAGAGAUCUGGAGGAAUACCGGUGGCGAAGGCGGCCCCCUGGACGAAGACUGACGCUCAGGUGCGAAAGCGUGGGGAGCAAACAGGAUUAGAUACCCUGGUAGUCCACGCCGUAAACGAUGUCGACUUGGAGGUUGUGCCCUUGAGGCGUGGCUUCCGGAGCUAACGCGUUAAGUCGACCGCCUGGGGAGUACGGCCGCAAGGUUAAAACUCAAAUGAAUUGACGGGGGCCCGCACAAGCGGUGGAGCAUGUGGUUUAAUUCGAUGCAACGCGAAGAACCUUACCUGGUCUUGACAUCCACAGAACUUUCCAGAGAUGCCUUGGUGCC